UGAAAGAUUAAUUGAUGCGUAUAUGGUGGAGAGAAGAUAAUUUAUGGGUUAUGGGUUAGGGAUUCAAUUGCAGAUUUCGAUUGCAGGAAGAUGAGUUCGAUUCUUAGGGUUUGAAGGAAUUCGAUUGAAGAAGAUGAUUUUGUUACCUUUGGAUAUUAGGGUUUAUAGAUGAGAUCGUGUGCUCAAGAUUUUUGUGGAAGAACUGAUUUUAGUGCGCUGAAGUUUUGAUCUCAGUUUUGAUUUUGUUUUUCUAUAAUUUCUGUUUU
rnacentral:lncRNA from 1 species